GUAGGAACGUGCUGUUGACCGCUCUGCAGACGAGGGUCUGGGCUUUUCAAUUUGAUGCACUAGCUGCAGGAAGUCAAUGCAGAGAAGCAACAAGUGGUGCGAUGUCCUUUUAUAUUUUUUAAUUAAAAAUUCAGACAGAUGGAUCAUCGGUAGAGGUUUGAUUCUGCAGCCUGGAAGAUCUCAGAAGUCGAGUUGGGUUGUGUAAAUGAAUCUGUUGUAGAGGGCAAAUCUGGUUAUUGAGAGAUGUUUCCUGUGAGGUUAAGCUGGUUGUCAAUGACCUCAAUCUUAAUUCUGGGGGAAUUUGUGAAGAUCAAAUAAGAUCCAAAGCUGAUGACGAACCUGAAUUAUUUGCUGUGUUUAAAGUAAAAAAAAAAUGGAAAAUAUUGCUUUAAUUGAAACAAAAGCCAAUUCAUCACGUUCACUUUGACUGGAUCGAGUCACAAGGCAAUAGUGUGCCAGCUCUUUAGGACGAAAGGUUGAACCAAACACUGAACGACAGUAAAGAAAUGAUCAACUCUUCAGAUCGAUCCCUGCAUUUUUCGCAGCCGUGGUAACGUAUUACACAUGCAGACACAGAUGGGAGGGAGGGCUGGAGAUUGUGGGGAAGCUUGAUAAGGAGGUCGUAAAAUAUAAAUAUCCCCUGGUCUUACCGAAAAGGAAGAGAGUUUGUCAUCUGCAUCUGCUCGGCGGCAGUUUAAAACCGGAAACGAUUCUGCACAGACGCAUUUUUUUACCCUGCGACAAUGCAAACUAAUCUUCUCCUGGUGACACUUUGUCUCCUCGGUUCAGUAAUCCUCUGUGGAGGACAGAGUACCACAGAUGCUACUAUUACAAUAACCCCAAUGACAACCGCAACAGACAGCAAUAGUCCAAGUCAGUCAACUCCAACUGCUGACUCCAACCCAACCUUAAGCACCAAGCCCCUCCCAACCUCCACCUCCGAGUCCAUCACAGUUACAACAGAUGAAGGAGCUACACCUGAACCCUCAUCGGGGCUCUCAGCAGGAGCGAUAGCCGGCAUCGUCAUUGGUUCUAUUGCCGGGGUGGCUCUACUCGGUGGAGGUAUCUUUGGUUUGCUGAAAUACACCAAAAAGAUUUAAAAUCUCUACAGAUAAGGACUCAAUGUUUGGAGAUACAGGAAACCUUCAUUUUCCUGAUGAAGUUAAGGGGACCAAAACAAUCGUCAUUUUGUCUGAAAGGCUCACAUGUCAUGGGCCCAGAGGAAGACAAAAAAAUAAGGAAAUUUCACAAUAAUCGUCUGACUGAUAGUGAAUCACAACAUUUUUGAUGGACAAUUUCAUUUAUAUUUUGAUAUUUUCAUUGUUGACAGAUGCUCUGCAUGUAAUUGCUUUGGUUUGACGUUUAUUUAAUGUGCCAAAAGAAAACCCUCUCAAUGACAAAGGGCGCCUCCACGUGCUGGAAUGAGAGGACGGAGUCUGGGUGCUGCUUUAUUUGUAGUAAAAGUAUUGACGUAAUUUGAGAACUGGAGUGAGUUAGUGUGACGUCAUCCAUAGAAAAUGACUUACUUCUGGCCCCGACCAAAUAUAGUCGCCGCAAUGUUGGAGCCAGACUUCAUCCGUCCGAGCUAACAUUACUAUGGCAACCACUCUCACCAAUCAAGAGGGAGCUUGUUGACAGUCCACACCCCUACCACUUGAAAGCGGGCUAAACAAAAUCUGUCAAUCAAAUGUUUUGGAUGUUUGUUGUGGGUGCCAACAGGCUCCACAUACUUUUAUUCAGGCAUCUGAUUGGCCAGUUUAGAACUUGGAUAACUUGCACUAUAAAAAAAGAGGAUUAUCGAGAAGAUGUUAAGAAAAAGGUAUCACAGUUAGAAUGACUAUUCUGACCAAUAGAAUUUUUAUAUCACUAUAGAAGUCUAUGGGAUUUUGGCUUCUUGGAGCCAGUGGGUACUUCCUGGAUGGAACGCCAAGGGGGAGGGGUCACUCAGUCCAGUUCUCAUAUACAGUUAAUGAGUAAAACAUUACAAGCUAGAUGUUGUCUCUACUUUCAUCAUAAAAUGACUGGGACUGCAAUUAUUCUAUUUAACUUCUCUUUUCUUGAAACACAUAGGAAAGCUGUUUAAACAAAGUUCUUUACAAAUCACUUAAUAUAGUUAAUAAAGAUGACAUGUUAUCCUGCUGUCGUAUUUUUAUGUCUUUACAACAUUUAUGGUUAAAGUUCGGUUGUAUUUUAUAGGAUGAACUUCCUUGUACAUAAAGAUUGUUUGCUUGCAGAUCCUUUUAACAACAUAAAGAAUAAUGUC